GCCCGCAUAGCUCAGUUGGGAGAGCACCUGACUCUUAAUCAGGGUGUCGUAGGUUCGAUCCCUACUGCGGGUA
rnacentral:tRNA from 1 species